CACGCCACAAACACGACUUCUCCAAAGUAAUACUUUCCCAUCCGAGACAAACCCCCGAUCUUUCAUAAUUCAUAACAAAUCAGGAAAUAUCAGCCUAAAACCUCUGUUUUUUUUUUUGGCAGGUAAGAUUCAGCACGUGGAUCCACGCGUUGUUACCGUCUAGCACCUCCUUCACUGUCCGUGCAUGAAGCCACUCACCACUACUUUCCAGAUCAGUUUCAACAGCUUCUGGUCCGCGUUAGCAGCUCCGAAGGAUUAGGCUACCUGUUAAUCAACCUGUUCUUGGUUCCUGUCAUGUGGAAUGAAGGCGAGGGGCUGUGUGAGGGUGGUGGUUCGGUUGAAGGAUUUGCUAUCACAGUUGGAGGAAAGGAAGGCAGUGAUGGCUGAAAGGGAAGGGACUGUCAGUGGUAGCAUGAGAUAGAGGAGAUGUUGUCGUGGGUGGCUGCGGUGUUUAGGUUCAAAGGUUGCUGGGAUAGUCAGAGAAAAGGGGUGUUGACAUGCUAGGGUUUUGUAUUCUUAUAGAUAAAUACAU